AAGCCGGGUUAUGGUGCCAAACUGCGCGCUAACCUAGAUCCCACAAAGGGUGUUGGUCGAUUAAGACUGCAGGACGGUGGUCAUGGAAGUCAAAAUCUGCUAAGGAGUGUGUAACAACUCUCCUGCCGAAUAAACUAGCCCCAAAAAUGGAUGGCGCUUAAGCGCGUGACCUACACCCGGCCGUCGGGGCAAGUGCCAAGCCCCGAUG
rnacentral:ncRNA from 1 species